GUGCUUACUCUGGGAGAACAUAUACUAAAAUUGCAAUGAUACAGAGGACAUCUCCUCUUCAGUGAAUGAUAAGAAAAUUUGUGAAGUAUAUCAUAUUUUU
rnacentral:snRNA from 1 species